UAUAAGACGAGAAGACCCCAUGGAGCUUCAAACCCAACUACACCCCCAACCCCUAUAACUACUAAAUCCUUGAGGCCCUGUAUCGUUGGUUUUAGGUUGGGGCGACCACGGAGUACAACAAAACCUCCACAAUGAACGGAAUUAAUUCCUAAUCUAAGAACUACAUCUCUAAGAAUUAAAAUACUAACAUAAAAUGAUCCAUUUUUUGAUUAAUGAACCAAGUUACCCUGGGGAUAA
rnacentral:rRNA from 1 species